rnacentral:tRNA from 1 species
AUAGUAUUAGUAUAAAUUAAUAUUUUAUCUUUCCAAGUUAAAGAUCCUUUUUAUAAUAGGAUACUAUA